UCCGAGUUGACCCCGGCAGUCUCCUAUGAGUCCCCGCCAUCACGCGCUGGCAACAUAGAACGAGGGUUGCGCUCGUUGCGGGGCUUAACCCAACAUCUCACGACACGAGCUGACGACAACCAUGCACCACCUGUGCAGGACCCUUGCGGACCCCCCAUCUCUGGAGGAUUUCCCUGCAUGUCAAGCCUUGGUAAGGUGGGGAUGACGUACUUGCUAGGUAA
rnacentral:misc_RNA from 1 species